rnacentral:rRNA from 1 species
UCCUACGGGCGGCUGCAGUGGGGAAUAUUGGACAAUGGGGGAAACCCUGAUCCAGCGACGCCGCGUGUGUGAAGAAGGCCUGCGGGUUGUAAAGCACUUUUAGUGGGGAUGAAAAGCCGAGGGCUAAUACCUUUCGGUCUUGACCUAACCCACAGAAAAAGCACCGGCUAACUCUGUGCCAGCAGCCGCGGUAAUACAGAGGGUGCAAGCGUUAAUCGGAAUUACUGGGCGUAAAGCGCGCGUAGGUGGUUUGUUAAGUUGGAUGUGAAAGCCCCGGGCUCAACCUGGGAACUGCAUCCAAAACUGGCAAGCUAGAGUACGGUAGAGGGUGGUGGAAUUUCCUGUGUAGCGGUGAAAUGCGUAGAUAUAGGAAGGAACACCAGUGGCGAAGGCGACCACCUGGACUGAUACUGACACUGAGGUGCGAAAGCGUGGGGAGCAAACAGGAUUAGAUACCCU